GAGAGACCCUGCCCCAGUGUCUAAGGACUGAAGGUACCCCACCCAAGGGGGAAGAGGACAUCUCAGUAUAACUGGAAAUCGUCAGCCCAGGAGGAAAAGGCGGACAUUUACAACAAGGAAAUUUCAAAGGGACAUGAAUUCUACCCAGAAAAAAGGAACCUGCUCUUCUGAAUUAUUCUCUGACACUCACUUUCUUUCUGCUGUAUGGAGAUAAAUAACCUUUUUGUGUGGUGCAUGUGUGUCAAGGUCUAAUAUAUAUGUAAAAGAAUUAUGAUGAUAAAAUUAACAUUAAGAAUGUCACCCGUACUUCAGCUUUGGUAAUAUGGUCACAUGAACAUUAUACCUGUCCUAACAAGUUUUUUACAGGGUCAUAUAUUGGCCCAGUUGGAACAGCAUCUUGUCUGGUGUUUUGCAACAGAAUUUUCACCAGGAGGAACUUAUACCUUUUGAGCCAUGACUUCUUAACCUUGCAGAGGCGAACACCAUCUACAAACUAUAUCCUGUGUGUUCCGUUGCCAGGGGAUAGAGCCUUCUAGAGGUCAGUGUACCAAUUUUCAUACAAUGGCCAGAGAUGCUGUGUUUCCAGCCAGCAAGAUGAUUGACCUGGCUAUGGUUAUUUGGCUCAUCAGCAGUGUCCUUUUUAUCAUACUAGCCAUGGUACUGCUCUAUGGAUGCCUUAGAAUGUGGUGCAAGAAGUGUAAGAACACCUCAAAUGGUCCUGGGACUUCAGAACAUAUUAGUGGUCAUGCAGAAUAUGCCCAUUCCUGGAAUGGAGUUGACAUUGAAACAACCCAAAUCAAUGAAUUUCCUACAUUAAUUGUAACUGAUAUGUUUCCAGAGAUUAAACCAGAGAGAAUUCCACCACUGGGUGGAACAAUGGCUCUGCUCUCCCACAGACAGGAUGCUCAUAAAUUAGAAGUCCUGCCCCUAAAUGAUUCUGGAUAACUAUAAACAUUUAUACUCCAUGAUUUUGAAACUUUACUUUAGCCAAUAUCCUUUUAGUAUUUUCAGGGACCUGAAAAUACCCCUCAACAAUAGACCAGCCUGUAAAGGCAUAUUUUUCAAAGGAGGACACAAUGGGUAUAGCUGCAAAAAUAUGGAUGCACCCAUUCUCCCCUCAAAAUCCCAUAAAUAGACAUGCAGAUUGGCACUUAUACAUACCCAAGUAUUUUAUGGAGGUGAUGGAUAUGACUCCAUAGUUAGAAUUUCAUUCUAAAAUGGGAUAUAAAUUAGGUUAUCUACUUUUAGAGAAAAACAUUAUGUGGAAUUUCGCCCAGGGUCAGUUUUUAUGCCCUUUGAAUUUUCUGAGUAGCUUUUGUUUGGUUUUUCUUUAUAGUAUUUAGAACUUUAUAGUAAUAACUCUUGAAAAUUGGGCUCUGGAUGAAAGUUGUCUGUGGCAUUUCUACUUCUCAUUGUUGACUGACUUGUUUUAAAAAAAAAAAAACAUUAUCUACACAAAACCUGGUAGAGAAGUGAAUCCUGAGCACAUCUGGGACAACUGGUGAAGUUUCUUUCACUGGGAUUUAAAGUGACUUUCAGCAAUUAUUAUUU